rnacentral:rRNA from 1 species
UACGAAGGGGGCUAGCGUUGUUCGGAAUCACUGGGCGUAAAGGGCGCGUAGGCGGCUUUGUAAGUCGGGGGUGAAAGCCUGUGGCUCAACCACAGAAUUGCCUUCGAUACUGCAUGGCUUGAGACCGGAAGAGGUAAGUGGAACUGCGAGUGUAGAGGUGAAAUUCGUAGAUAUUAGGAAGAACACCAGUGGCGAAGGCGGCUCACUGGUCCGGUACUGACGCUGAGGUGCGAAAGCGUGGGGAGCAAACAGG